rnacentral:snoRNA from 1 species
ACAUGUGAUGAAUUUUACGUUCGCUGUGUUCUUACUGAAAUCAAUCAUGUCGAACAUACAUCAUCUUGGAGAACUGACCU